rnacentral:rRNA from 1 species
UAGGGAAUCUUUGGCAAUGGACGAAAGUCUGACCGAGCAACGCCGCGUGAGUGAAGAAGGUUUUCGGAUCGUAAAACUCUGUUGUUUGAGAAGAACAAGGACGUUAGUAACUGAACGUCCCCUGACGGUAUCUAACCAGAAAGCCACGGCUAACUACGUGCCAGCAGCCGCGGUAAUACGUAGGUGGCAAGCGUUGUCCGGAUUUAUUGGGCGUAAAGCGAGCGCAGGCGGUUUCUUAAGUCUGAUGUGAAAGCCCUCGGCUCAACCGGGGAGGGUCAUUGGAAACUGGGAGACUUGAGUGCAGAAGAGGAGAGUGGAAUUCCAUGUGUAGCGUUGAAAUGCGUAGAUAUAUGGAGGAACACCAGUGGCGAAGGCGGCUCUCUGGUCUGUAACUGACGCUGAGGCUCGAAAGCGUGGGGAGCAAACAGG